rnacentral:rRNA from 1 species
GACGAACGCUGGCGGCGUGCUUAACACAUGCAAGUCGAACGGAAAGGCCCUGCUUUUGUGGGGUGCUCGAGUGGCGAACGGGUGAGUAUCACGUGUGUAACCUGCCCUUGACUUUGGGAUAAAUUCAGGAAACUGGGGCUCAUACCGGAUAGGAGCUCCUGCUGCAUGGUGGGGGUUGGAAAGUUUCGGCGGUUGGGGAUGGACUAGCGGCUUAUCAGCUUGUUGGUGGGGUAGUGGCUUACCAAGGCUUUGACGGGUAGCCGGCCUGGGAGGUGGACCGGCGACAAUGGGACUGAGAGACGGCCCAGACUCCUACGGGAGGCAGCAGUGGGGAAUAUUGCACAAUGGGCGGAAGCCUGAUGCAGCAACGCCGCGGGCGGGAUGACGGCCUUCGGGUUGUAAACCGCUUUCGCCUGUGACGAAGCGGGAGUGACGGUAAUGGGUAAAGAAGCACCGGCUAACUACGUG